AGGAGUCAGAGUUGCUGCUGCAGAAUAGAGGAUCUGACUGAGGUGGGAAAGCCUCAACUCAGCCAGGUUGCAGCACUAGGAAGAGUUAGGACAGCCAGUCCUUGAUAAGAUGUCUUCCACCUUGUAAGUGGUCACCAAGGUGACUCCACACGUGGUACGUGAUUGCCUGAGAAGUGUCAGGAGACUCAGUGAACUAUUGCACCUUUCAGCCCAUCACCUUCUGUACUGCUUUGACCCUCAAAGGUCUCACCAUAAGAAUAAUCUUUGAAGGCAUGCUCAGAGCAUAAUUUGUCAUCUGGUUGCUGAGUAACUCCAGCAAAACUCCUCUGUUCUUUGUGAAGCUGAGAAACACAGAAGAUCCAAGAAUUGGAAAGAUAUCUGAGGAGAGGAGCAGAAGAGCUGAAACACAAAAGGAGAAGACAACAAAAAAAGAAUUCUGGAAGAACAGAAAAGUAAAGGAAACCUUUUAAAAAAUA